UACAGAGGUCUCAAGCGUUGUUCGGAUUCAUUGGGCGUAAAGAGCUCGUAGGCGGCUUGUUGCGUCGGGCUGUGAAAUCCCGUGGCUUAACUGCGGGCUUGCAGCCGAUACGGGCGGGCUGGAGUUCGGUAGGGGAGACUGGAAUCCUGGUGUAGCGGUGAAAUGCGCAGAGUAUCAGGAGGAACACCGGUGGCGAAGGCGGGUCUCUGGGCCGAUACUGACGCUGAGGAGCGAAAGCGUGGGGAGCGAACAGG
rnacentral:rRNA from 1 species